rnacentral:rRNA from 1 species
UGAACGCUGGCGGCAUGCCUUACACAUGCAAGUCGAACGGCAGCACGGGUGCUUGCACCUGGUGGCGAGUGGCGAACGGGUGAGUAAUACAUCGGAACAUGUCCUGUAGUGGGGGAUAGCCCGGCGAAAGCCGGAUUAAUACCGCAUACGAUCUACGGAUGAAAGCGGGGGACCUUCGGGCCUCGCGCUAUAGGGUUGGCCGAUGGCUGAUUAGCUAGUUGGUGGGGUAAAGGCCUACCAAGGCGACGAUCAGUAGCUGGUCUGAGAGGACGACCAGCCACACUGGGACUGAGACACAGCCCAGACUCCUACGGGAGGCAGCAGUGGGGAAUUUUGGACAAUGGGCGAAAGCCUGAUCCAGCAAUGCCGCGUGUGUGAAGAAGGCCUUCGGGUUGUAAAGCACUUUUGUCCGGAAAGAAAUCCUUGGCUCUAAUACAGUCGGGGGAUGACGGUACCGGAAGAAUAAGCACCGGCUAACUACGUGCCAGCAGCCGCGGUAAUACGUAGGGUGCGAGCGUUAAUCGGAAUUACUGGGCGUAAAGCGUGCGCAGGCGGUUUGCUAAGACCGAUGUGAAAUCCCCGGGCUCAACCUGGGAACUGCAUUGGUGACUGGCAGGCUAGAGUAUGGCAGAGGGGGGUAGAAUUCCACGUGUAGCAGUGAAAUGCGUAGAGAUGUGGAGGAAUACCGAUGGCGAAGGCAGCCCCCUGGGCCAAUACUGACGCUCAUGCACGAAAGCGUGGGGAGCAAACAGGAUUAGAUACCCUGGUAGUCCACGCCCUAAACGAUGUCAACUAGUUGUUGGGGAUUCAUUUCCUUAGUAACGUAGCUAACGCGUGAAGUUGACCGCCUGGGGAGUACGGUCGCAAGAUUAAAACUCAAAGGAAUUGACGGGGACCCGCACAAGCGGUGGAUGAUGUGGAUUAAUUCGAUGCAACGCGAAAAACCUUACCUACCCUUGACAUGGUCGGAAUCCUGCUGAGAGGCGGGAGUGCUCGAAAGAGAACCGGCGCACAGGUGCUGCAUGGCUGUCGUCAGCUCGUGUCGUGAGAUGUUGGGUUAAGUCCCGCAACGAGCGCAACCCUUGUCCUUAGUUGCUACGCAAGAGCACUCUAAGGAGACUGCCGGUGACAAACCGGAGGAAGGUGGGGAUGACGUCAAGUCCUCAUGGCCCUUAUGGGUAGGGCUUCACACGUCAUACAAUGGUCGGAACAGAGGGUUGCCAACCCGCGAGGGGGAGCUAAUCCCAGAAAACCGAUCGUAGUCCGGAUUGCACUCUGCAACUCGAGUGCAUGAAGCUGGAAUCGCUAGUAAUCGCGGAUCAGCAUGCCGCGGUGAAUACGUUCCCGGGUCUUGUACACACCGCCCGUCA